rnacentral:rRNA from 1 species
CGCGUAGGCGGUUCGGUAAGUCCUGUGUGAAAUCCCUCGGCUCAACUGAGGAACUGCACGGGAGACUGCCGGGCUUGAGUUCGGGAGAGGGAAGCGGAAUUCCGGGUGUAGCGGUGAAAUGCGUAGAUAUCCGGAGGAACACCGGUGGCGAAGGCGGCUUCCUGGACCGACACUGACGCUGAGGCGCGAAAGCUAGGGGAGAAACG